rnacentral:lncRNA from 1 species
AAUAUCAAACUCAGGCAAAUAACAAUAUUGGACCAAAGGAGGACAAAAGCCCAAAACUAAAAGGGGAAAGGAGAGUUCCCAUGUGGGCCAAGGACUAUGACCUGGCUAAUGCAAGGAAGGGGUGCAGGAAUCUUAAAAGAACCUAGAAGAUGGACAAUUGUCCUUCAUAGUAGAAGGAAUCUUUUAUCAAUUUAUUUUAUUGCAAUUAGUUACCUCAAUAGAGGGAUCUGUUUACACCUGUCAUUGAUCAGAUAGGGUUAGAGAGUUUUUAUGAGCUAUAAAGCCAAACAGUUUGUAAGACGAUAAUAUAAUGAAUUAAUAUCAGAUUUCU